UACAGUCACAGGCUACUGUGGAGAACUCCAUCCUGCAGUCAGACAAAGCUCUUACAGAUGGAGAGAGGGCCGUAGCAGCUGAGCGGACCAAGAAGGAGGUGGCUGAGAAGGAAAGAGAGCUGCUGAAACAGAGACAGAAGGAGCAAGAGCAAGUGAUGGAGGCUCAGGAGAGAAGUUUCCAAGAAAACAUUGCUAAGCUUCAGGAGAAGAUGGAGAGGGAAAGGGUGAUGCUGCUCAGGGAGCAGGAGAAGAUGAUGGAGCACAAGCUGAAGGUCCAAAAAGAACUGCUUGUUGAAGGAUUCAGAAAGAAAUCUGAUAUGUUAAAGAAUGAAAUAAGUCAACUGAGAGAAGAGAUCGAAA
rnacentral:lncRNA from 1 species